rnacentral:rRNA from 1 species
GUGGGGAAUAUUGGACAAUGGGCGAAAGCCUGAUCCAGCCAUGCCGCGUGUGUGAAGAAGGUCUUCGGAUUGUAAAGCACUUUAAGUUGGGAGGAAGGGCAGUAAGUUAAUACCUUGCUGUUUUGACGUUACCGACAGAAUAAGCACCGGCUAACUUCGUGCCAGCAGCCGCGGUAAUACGAAGAGUGCAAGCGUUAAUCGGAAUUACUGGGCGUAAAGCGCGCGUAGGUGGUUUUGUAAGUUGGAGGUGAAAUCCCCGGGCUCAACCUGGGAACUGCCUCCAAAACUGCAUGACUAGAGUACGGUAGAGGGUAGUGGAAUUUCCUGUGUAGCGGUGAAAUGCGUAGAUAUAGGAAGGAACACCAGUGGCGAAGGCGACUACCUGGACUGAUACUGACACUGAGGUGCGAAAGCGUGGGGAGCAAACAGGAUUAGAUACCCUAGUAGUCC